AUCCUCUUCUCCUCCCUCCCGUCAGCGACCUGCCUCCACUCCGCGAGGCAGAUCGAUCGAGACCCAUGGCCGGGGUCGCCACCGUGCCUCGCCGCGCAGCGCAUCGGGUACUUUGACGUUAGAAGGGAUACUUGCCCCUUUGGCGGAUGAUGUUUUUACAAGCAUGCCUACACCGAUGGGCAUUUGGAGGAGCCGGCAACGGUGGCAGUGCUUCAUUUUCAUGCCGACAAUGGAAGUAU